rnacentral:misc_RNA from 1 species
CCGAGCCAGUUGCCCGCCGCGCAGCCUCCAGCUUGUUUACAUCGAAUUUCAUGUGACGUUUACCCCUUGCUAAUAGUCUGUAACAUCCUGUUUGAUGUUAUUAGUGGUGGCAGUGAUACCCAUGUGAACAUUUUGCGAGAAGUGUUUCAGUUACUUAAAACAAUGCCUAUUAUCCUUGAAUUAAAACUAUAAUUCAGUGCUUAGUGGUGGUUAAUAUGAAGGAAUCGACUCCUCGUUGUGAGGAUGUGGCUGACAAACUGGUGCGUCUGUUUGGAUGGAGACAGACGUACCCUGUGCAAAAACUCCAGAGGAGUAUUCUGCCCCAGACCAAUGAUACGGGUCCAGAGACAUGGGUGGGCGUGCGGGCGCUGCGAGCCAGUUCUGGAGGCAUCCUAGACCUGGACGACCGCGUGCGGGACGUGGCUGAUGACCGGGAGACCCUCACUGCGGAGUGCACCAGUCAAGCGCCGCAGCCCCGCGCCGCUCAGGCAGAUGGCGCUAGUGGCUCGUCGGCUGGCACCGCUUCCCCUGAUAUGUUUCGGGGAGGUGGUGGCGUGGGCGGCAGCAUGCGGGUUCCUGACACCGAUUCCUGCGUGGAGGUCGGUGCAGCAGACCUGGAAGACGGCUCCAAUGGCCUGCAGGUGCGGCGGGGCAGUGAACCUACGCUGCACCAGGACACGUUACCUCCUCAGAGACAGGUGUCAGAACAAACGAAGCGCUGGUCAGCAGCGGUGGUGUUCCGAGACGACAGCAGUCGGGUGACGCAGAAGGUGCACCCGUUGCCGGACGGCCGGCCGCCGGACGCCGCUGUCGAUAGGCACGGACAACACUUCCAGAGGCAGUCUAAUAGGCUGUCCAUGCAGUUCUCUGGACCAGGGAGUGGGGUAUGGUUGGAUGCAGCAGAGCGGGUACAAAGUUAUGGCAGUAAGAGUCUUCCUAGAGACGCGCGGAGAGAGCCGCUAGGACAAGACACGACGCCUGUCAAUAACCAUCAAAACCAUAGGGUAGAAGACAUGCUUCGGUGGGUGACGGGAGUGAACAACGUAGCGAGUGUGCAUCCUGUGCAGGAACGGCCUCUAGAUCUCUUACCUGAAGGGGGCAGUAGUGAACGAGCUAUCUCGGGCAUGGAGGUGCCGGUGACGGGCAGCAGCAAGCAGUCGGCAGCGCAGAGCGUCGCCGUGUCGCUGGUGAAGGGGGAGAAGGGGCUCGGCUUCACCAUCACCACCAGGGACAACCCCACGGGAGGACACUGUCCAAUUUAUAUCAAGAAUAUUUUGCCUAAGGGUGCAGCAGUAACAGACGGGCGCCUCAGAGCGGGCGACAAGCUGGUGUCAGUGAACAACGUCUCUGUGUCCGGCCUGACGCAGCAGCAAGUCGUCACGUUACUGCGGAACACCCCCACUGACUCCACCGUCGAGAUCGUUGUAGAGAGGACUGUGCCUAAUAGGACGCAGAGGGUAGAACCCCAGCAAAGUCCAACAAAGUACGUAGAAAAAGCGAUAGGGGCUUCCAACCCCAUCGAGGCGAAACCUUCAGAGAACGGCCGCGUGUCCAGCAUAGUGAACGCCAUCAACCAGAACAGUGCCAACAGUUCCAUGCGAGGCAGGAUCCCGAAGAGCUCGUCCAAAGAUGAUCUGCUGCAUAAGGAUAAUAGUACCGAGGCGCUACAAGAGGCUUUAAAUUCUUCGUCUAAUUCUAUCCUAGGUCUUCGCAACCGGCUGAUCCUUCGCCUGGACGUGCCGGUACACGACUCGGAGAAGGCGGGGCUCGGCAUCAGUGUCAAGGGCAAGGUCACCGUUGGCCCUGACCCUCAGGACUUAGGCAUCUUCAUCAAGUCUGUGCUGCAUGGUGGAGCGGCUUCUAGAGAUGGCAGGUUACACACAAACGACCAGCUGCUGAGCGUGAACGGCGUCUCGCUAGUGGGCCAGAGCAACGCGGAGGCUAUGGAGACGCUGCGCCGGGCGCUGUUACACGCGCGGCCGCAGAGGACUGGCAGCAUAUCGCUUACUAUCGCCAGGCGGACUGACAGCAUGGACAGCUUAGCACGGUGGAAAGACGACACGCCACCGAACGGCAACGAUACGACCAACUCUAACGACAACUCGCAGAACUACAACACCGUCAUAUACAACGCCAGCAGCGACAAGGAGAACAAACCCGUUGACAAUUACAACCAGAAAUACGACGCCAAUCAAAAGUAUGACGCCAACCAAAACGAGGGCUUCGACGCACACGACGGACGACCCAAGAAACACGCCUCAAUAGUCACUAUAAACAAUAAUAACAGCUGGGUGUCCAACCAAUCAGAUGACAGCAAAGGUUACCUAGAAAGAGAUAAGGAUGCACCACCCCAUGAUAAUAAGAGAGAUAGCUUCGAAUGGAGUCGACUUGAUGGCUGGAAUCCCGUCAUAGAUCGACUGACUGGGUUGAGGAACGAGAGUUAUUAUAUGGCGACGCAAAUCGAUGCUCCCGUCACGAAUGGACAUCACUACAGACAGAAUUUAGGGCACGUGCAUAUGCCACGGUCUCCGCCGGCGCAUCAUAAUGUUAUUAUUGAAGAGGAUUAUGGUACCACGAGGGGUAGCGGCAGCGGGUGCGGCGGCGAGUCGGGCAGCGAGUCGGGCGCGGGGUUCAGCCGCGACGCCGUGGGGCGCCGCUCCAUGUCCGAGAAGCGCCACGCCGCGCUCGACGCCAAGACUACAGGCACCUAUAAGAAGAUCAAAGAGAUUAAGGCUGUUCAUUCAAUGCAAGUGGGUCCAUCAUUAGGCAUGAGAAAGUCAUCGAGUUUAGAGUCACUACAGACUGCCAUACAAGAGACGCAGAGGAAUCCACGCAUCGAACCUAUCUAUGCGCGAGCGCACCCACCUUUAAAACACUGGUUGACGGACGAUAGCAACGGGCCUGACAUGAUCCGAGGCUCGCCGCAGCAGUCAUCUCUCUCACACAAGAAGCCAUCGCUACUUAAGUCAUUAUCUACUAUGUUCAGGAUAGGCAAGCCUAACAAGAAAGUGGAAACAGAAGUAUAUGGUAGGUCACAGCCCGGCAGAGCCUCAGAGAAGUCACUGUCAAGAGAGGCGCUAGAGAGACACAACAGGAUAGACGAGAGGGUAGAAAAGGAAGAAGAAACUAAUUCUAAGUCACAACAACGCAGGGCAUGGACAGUGCGUGGGGUCCGACAGGUCACUACGUCAACUAUGAGGAAAUCCAGCAGAAUUUAAAUGCGCGUCGCGAGAAGUUGAGCGAGGUGCAGAUAGGACAGAUGAGGAGACAGGUCAGCGCGCAGAGAGCCAAGGCCGAGGACGAGAGUCGUCGGGCAGGCGCGGGUGGCUACCACUCACAGCGCUCCUGUAGAGAAGGCG